AUUGAACGCUGGCGGCAGGCCUAACACAUGCAAGUCGAGCGGGGUUUUCGGACCUAGCGGCGGACGGGUGAGUAAUGCGUAGGAAGCUGCCCGAUAGAGGGGGAUACCAGUUGGAAACGACUGUUAAUACCGCAUAAUGUCUACGGACCAAAGUGUGGGACCUUCGGGCCACAUGCUAUCGGAUGCGCCUACGUGGGAUUAGCUAGUUGGUGAGGUAAUGGCUCACCAAGGCGACGAUCUCUAGCUGGUUUGAGAGGAUGAUCAGACACACUGGAACUGAGACACGGUCCAGCGUCCUACAGGAGGAAGCAGUGGGGAAUAUUGGACAAUGGGCGCAAGCCGGAUCCAGCCAUGCCGCGUGUGUGAAGAAGGCCUUCGGGUUGUAAAGCACUUUCAGCGAGGAGGAAGGGGUGUGUGUUAAUAGUACACACCUUUGACGUUACUCGCAGAAGAAGCACCGGCUAACUCUGUGCCAGCCGCCGCAGUAACAC
rnacentral:rRNA from 1 species